UGUUUUCUCGCUAACCGGGAUAACUUUUUUCCAUAUGAAAUGGCCCUUAAUAAUGGUUUAAUAUUAUCUUGUGUUUUUUUCCAAAUCUUCUCUUGUGGCAAAGGAAACAUUCUCGUGACAUGAAUCAGCUCUGAUAGCCGCCUCGCGUACAAAAAACCUCUUCAAGUGCCCAGCUCCAGAUUAUGUAGAUCAGUUACUCUUGUUCUAUUCUAAGUUUUUGUAAGACAAUAGUAACUGGGCUGCUGUAA